rnacentral:sRNA from 1 species
UCAUGGAGAAGAGCCACAGCAGAACCACAGCUAUACUUGUCUUCCGUACCGUGUUCCUUCAUCCCAGAGGAAAAUGAAGAUUCGUUCGCACACCCAGUUCCAUCACCAGCGGAAUAAACCAAAGGUUAACCUGAAAGCACUCAAAUUGAAGAAGUAUGCCCAGAGGAGGAGAUCCAUUCUCCUGUUGCUCUCACAGAAUACCUGAGGAAGGGUGGUGUGUAGAACUUAGAGGUUUGUGUUCACCUCUACAGAAGUUUGAAGCAUGGAGCUAGUAUCUUCUUGGCUUCUGUGGGGACCCCAUGCCACGACAGUGUCUCUGGGAAGCGAAGGAGCAGGGUAGGGUGCUGUUGAAAGGAAGCGUGCUUUCCUGGCAUGAACACGGUUAGAGAGUCUAGCCACAGCUGAGGAGAGCAGAGAGGAGGAGGGGAAAGGAUGGAGGGAGGGGUGAGAGAGGAAGGGAGAGGGAGAACUUUAAUGGAAGAAUGUUCUGGGUGGAGAGAGAAAAUCCAGAACUGUAGAUAACUGGAACUCCCAUAUUACACCAGGCCUGUGAGGCAGGGGGAUGCCUGAAGUUCCCUGCAUGAUGUUGCACAAGUACAGGAUAGAGAAAGCUCAAUUACUCGGGCCUCACUGCUGUGCUGUUUGUAAGUGGUAGAGUCGGGGUUCGAAUCCUGUCCCUCGGAUUCAGACCUUCCUGGUUCCCACAAUGCCACGCCGCAGUGGCAUCCCUACUGAUGUUGACAGAACUGCUGCCAUCUUGCUUUUCACGUCCGGGAUGUGCUGUGCUCAGGACUGCAAGGCUGAAUUUGCUUCUCUCCGUGCUAGGGAGGGAGCAUGUGACGUUGUGCAUCCUUUGCGGGAACUCUACCGCUGUGCCUCAGUGAAGCUAACACCAAGGACAACCCCUGUCCCUGGCAGCCUCUGCUACACCCAGAUCAGGACACUUCCCAAAGACUAUGUGUGUGCCACUGGAGGUAGUUUGUGGAGAUGCCAGAAGUCUCGGAAAUGACUGCUGGGUGAAGACGUGAAGCUUUCCCCCCUAGCAUACAAAAACAUUUCCAAAAGACUAACCUUUCCUAAUAAAAUAAUCUCAAUAAGACAUUUCAGCAGGGGAAUUAUUAGAUAUUAAUUCAUGCCUAGUUGCACUGACAGCUUCGGCCGUCAGCGUUAGCCUAAUAGCACGCUAGGUGAGAAUUAAUAUGCCAUAAUUCACGCUCUGUCAUGCAUUAUUGCUUAAAUAAGAUACAUGAAGAAUAACCUAUUCUGGGGGAAUAACUGGGAUUCUCAGAGUUCUCCUGGCCAAGUUAUAAAUAGUUACGUUUGGAUCCAGAAUUUUUUUUGUAUUACUAAAUUUGAAAUAAAUUGCAUAUAUGUAUCCUCA